AUUCCGUCCAAAGCCUCGGUCAAGCAUGCGGGGCUUUGGCCCCCGAGACUGGGGUUCGAAUCCCCGCCGGGUUGCCA
rnacentral:tRNA from 1 species